rnacentral:rRNA from 1 species
UACGUGGGGUGCGAGCGUUGUCCGGAUUUAUUGGGCGUAAAGAGCUCGUAGGCGGUUUGUCGCGUCGGCCGUGAAAUCUCCACGCUUAACGUGGAGCGUGCGGUCGAUACGGGCAGACUUGAGUUCGGUAGGGGAGACUGGAAUUCCUGGUGUAGCGGUGAAAUGCGCAGAUAUCAGGAGGAACACCGGUGGCGAAGGCGGGUCUCUGGGCCGAUACUGACGCUGAGGAGCGAAAGCGUGGGGAGCGAACAGG